rnacentral:rRNA from 1 species
CAAAAACAUGUCUUUUUGGUAAUAAUUUAAAGUCUAAUCUGCCCACUGAUUUAAAUUAAAGGGCUGCAGUAUAUUGACUGUACAAAGGUAGCAUAAUCAUUAGUUUUUUAAUUGAAAACUUGUAUGAAGGAUUUGAUGAAAUAUAAACUGUCUCUUAUUUAAAAUUAAAAAUUUAUUUUUUAGUUAAAAAGCUAAAAUAAUUUUAAAAGACGAGAAGACCCUAUAGAGUUUUAUAUUAAAUUAUUUUAUAAUUAUUUAUAUAAUUAAAAAUUAAAAAUGAAUUUAAUAUUUUAUUGGGGUGAUAGAAAAAUUAAAAAAACUUUUUUUAAAUUAUUAACAUAGAUAUAUGAAUAAAUGAUCCAUAAUUAAUGAUUAUAAGAAAAAAUUACCUUAGGGAUAACAGCGUAAUAUUUUUUUUUAGUUCAUAUAAAAAAAAAAGUUUGCGACCUCGAUGUUGGAUUAAGAUAAAAUUUAAAUGCAAAAGUUUAAAAGUUUUGAUCUGUUCGAUCAUUAAAAUCUUACAUGAUCUGAGCUCAAACC